UUCAACAACUUAUGCACACCCUUAACGCCACAACUAAAGUAUUCCCCACUAGUUUUAAGUAAUGCUAGAACCCACACACUAACGAGAAGGGACAAAACACCUUGUAUGAAUCCAGUUGGUGCGAGUUUAACUGUUUGUUUCGAAUCUUGCAAUUGCCACCAUCGCACAGACUCACAAACACCUCCGCUGUUCGUCUGCCAUCGCCAUCAACCUCCCGCUGCCACCCUAAGACCGCCAAACCUUCAUCUUUUCCGGCGCCGAUGAAUCAUUCUCUCUUCUUGUCACCGCCAUUGUAACAAUCUUUCAAAUCGGUUUUGUGGGUUUGAACGCAUCAGCAACUGCUUCUGAAUUAGAAUACGACUCUUGUUUGGUGAAUGAAUGACCUGCUCCGGGACUGCUACCUGGUGUGGUAGGUCGAAAGGCAGUAGGGGUCCCGCCUACUUGAAAGCCAGUUGCAGCGGUUAAAGGGUUUUGCAAUGCAUUUGAGGUAUGUGUAGCUUGUGUUUCUUGUUUCAAGUGUCUUCCCUCGACUAAUAGGAGGAUUGCAUUGCAAGCUAUUAUCAACAAGAUGAUGAAUUGUGAGUUUAUCUGAAAGUUGACCAUGACUGUGAGAAGAAUAAUAUAAGGUAUGCUGUUAGUGAAAACAGAUUGUUAGAUAGAGGAAGGGUGGUGGUUGAUAUUGUAGUGCACUAGUAUUUAUAGUUUGAAGGUAUGUACUGUUGUAACUCCUUGUUGGUCUUAGUGACUAGUGGAAGGAUUCAUGGAAUACUUUUAGACAAUCAUAACUAAUUUUCUUAUGAAUAGUGAUUGUGGUCA